rnacentral:lncRNA from 1 species
AAAAGAAAAAUGCAUGUGAAAAUGAAAAAAAAUAAGAAAAAGCAUGAAGAUGAGCUCAAUGAAAAGAAAAAGGGAAAAAGUUGGGAAUGAGAGAGUUUGGUGAGAAAGAGAGUUGUGCUUAAAUGUUAAAUAUUAUGAUAGCUCUCUUAACUCAAGGAUUUUGUUUUCCAGAAAAACCAAUUUUUCUUGUUAGCCCAACCUCAUUACA